UACAGAGGGGGCAAGCGUUGUUCGGAAUUACUGGGCGUAAAGGGCGCGUAGGCGGUCUUCUAAGUCUUGUGUGAAAUCCCUCGGCUUAACUGAGGAACUGCACGGGAUACUGGAUGACUUGAGUUCGGGAGAGGGAAGCGGAAUUCCGGGUGUAGCGGUGAAAUGCGUAGAUAUCCGGAGGAACACCGGUGGCGAAGGCGGCUUCCUGGACCGACACUGACGCUGAGGCGCGAAAGCUAGGGGAGCAAACGGG
rnacentral:rRNA from 1 species